rnacentral:lncRNA from 1 species
CCCAUAAAGCUAGAAACAACUUAGUGUCCCAAUCUGUUCUCGCUCCUGAAACUAUUUUCGUUAAGAUUUUACAUAAAAUUCCAUUAAUCUUUUCCGUUUGUCUAUUGGCUCUAGGGUGAUACCAUCUAGUCUUACGAUGUUUUAUCUCGUAUUUAGCCGUAAGUGCUUCGAUUGUACUAUUUAUAAAAUGAAUUCCUCGAUCACUAACCAAUUCUCAUGGACAUGUCAUGGAUACAAAAUACAGACUUGAAAUCUAACAAGAAGUUCAAGAAGAAGUGGCAAAACUAGAUUAAAUAGAUGAGUACAAGAACAACACCAGAAAGGUGAGCUAGAACUCCAAGAG